AUAUUAAUCUUUUUAGCUAAAUAUACUAUUUUAAAAUCUUAAAAAAAAGCAUUGGAUUCUAAUAGUUUCCUGACUGAAAUAUAGUAGUAACUGCAGUAGCGGAUCCAAAUUUUUUUUUAAAGGGGAGGUGCACUGACUACAAAAUGAGGGUGGUCCGCUCCAUUUAUGCUUCAGUGAAUUCCUAAAUUAUCAACCAAAAGUUUCCAAUAAAAGAGGGGCGAUGUCUUGCUUCCUUAAAUCUUAUGCAAAGGAUUGUUCUAACAAAGACUUUAAAAUAAAAUUUAGUUGUAAUUCAAAUUUUGAAUUUAAUAAUUAAAACUGUACCGUGAUAACCAAACAAAACGAUUCCUCGCUAAAAUUUUAUGAUUUACAUUCAUACUCACAAUCAAGAAACUUUUCUUAACAAGUUCAUUGUACUGUUGUGUCAUCUAACGCCCAAAUCACAAUCUUUAAUAUUUUCCAGAAUUAAAAGAAAGUUCUUACAUCACUAAAGCUUAUCCAUAAAUGAAAUAGCUAAUAAAGGAAGUCAUGCAUUAAUUGCAAACAUUGCACUGACAAUGGAACUAAUUUUUAAAUAGAAGCAAUCAAGAGAUCACUUUAUCCUUGAGCACUUUACAAUAUUCUAAGUUUGUAAGAGAAUGAUAAUUCCUUAUCCCACAAGGACGCGGUAUGUCAGUGUACGAUCACCCCGAUUGCCGGAGGAAAGAGGGUGAUCUAACACUGACACACCAAGUCCGAAUGGGAUAACUAUUUUACAUCCAAGCUGUUUUAGAUUAGACGAAAAACCGUCUACAAUUCAUAAAAUCGAGUUUAGAACGCCACACAACCAUUAUAAUAUACUUUAUAUAUUACUAUAUGAUGUAUACCCUUUAUGACCCUCCAACACGAUGAGUAGAUUUCAAACAAUGUCAACUCGCCCCACUUGCCAAUCGGCCCGCACUAUAUCUCCACUUUAUAAAAAAAUCGCCCCACUCUUGUUUACCGACUCGCCCCACUUUUGAAAAAGUGUAAAAUCCAAUUGAACAAUUAGUCUGACAACUCACUUAUUAACGAAAAAGGUUUAAACCCCACUGAAUAAAGGUCUGCCAACUCUCCCCACUUAUAAAAAGAUCUUGUUUCCUUUAAGUAUGUUAAUUUACUGUUAGUUCGUAUCCAGUCGUCCUGGUGUAGUGGUAUGUGUCGUGGCGUGAUAUGCUAAAGGUCUCGAGUUCGAAUCCCUGCAUAUACACUGGAUUUUUUUCUACGUGAAUUUUGAUAGUCUUUUCCGUAGAAUUAAUUAUAAGUUUGAAAGUGGAUUAGACAUUCCCGCCAAAAUGUUGCAGAACAAAGGAAACUCGAACUGGGGUGAUCUGCUAGGGGUGAUCUUAGCCGGAUCCGGCUAAGAUCACCCCUGUUAGAACAGAGGAGCUGGGAUGUAAUCAUGAUAAGUACUCGCUAUCGCUUGUACUUAACCAUGAAGAAAGGGAUUAUCAUUCUCUUACAUAUACGAGAUCUAUGGUAUGUGGUCAUGAACGAAGUCAAGGUUAGAGGUCAUUUUGAUGUUCUAGAUUUUGACCGUUGUUAAAUUUAAAAAAAAACUGGUUCAUUACAAAUUCAUUAGCUCUUUUGCAUUCGGUUGAGACCUUUAAAAAAUGUCUUUUGACAGUGACAUUAUUGAAAAAGCUAUUAAAAUGAACAGUACAUAGAAAGUUAUUAUUCUUAGAAUAAGCUUGCGGCAACCAAUAAAACUAGAAGUAACAUAUUCUUACAUCGUUUUUCUUUUAAUUUUAUUAUCGAGAGGUGAGCUGGAAAGGUUUUUUUAUUUCUUUUAUUUGACUUUCUCAAAUUCUGAAUCAAAGCUUUGGCUGAAUGGAUCUUCCGUUUGUUGUACCUUUUCAGGUUCCCCUCUUGGACUAUUUAAACUUCUUAGUUUGAUCGAAAACACAAGAUUAACAAAGUCUAUGGUAUGGAUGAUCUAUUCCGAUGGCUUGGUCACUUAAAAUAAUGACACCUACUUUGUUCAGUUUCAGUUCUACUGAUGUAUUUCAACAAUAGUUUUUUUUUUUAUUAUUAAUGAGUGUACUAGUACUGAUUGUAUCAUG
rnacentral:lncRNA from 1 species